rnacentral:rRNA from 1 species
AUGAUAAGUACUUCCGCUUUCUCAUUGUACUCGUUACAUUACCAAAGGGAAGCCAAGAGAUCACAUAAUCUUUUAAAGACCUUGCCGCGCGUAGUGGCAAUAUCAUUUGGCGAAGUCGGCACAAGAAGUAGGCGGAGUAGAGGCAGCAGUUGCGGGCUCAGGUGCAGCAAUCGCAAUCAAUAUUCCCAUCUGGGGUUGGCGGAGUUGGUAGAAAGCACGGUUGGUGAUAAGCUGGUUCUAGUUUUAUUCCAAAAUCCAGUGCCCGGAACUGGUAAAUCUAACAAUGUAGGCACACGUUGGCACAGUUUUGUAAAUAAGAGAUGUCUCAUCCGGUUGAGUUGUCGCAAUCAGUCUUUCUCUUCCUUUCUUAGUAGCAGAUCCAACAUGACUGUAUUAAACCUUAAGCAAUCAGGGUAUCACCAUCCUUCAACAUUAACAUCCCACAAUAUGUUUGGAGGCAUAGGAGAUGAGUGA